rnacentral:rRNA from 1 species
UACGUAGGGUGUGAGCGUUAAUCGGAAUUACUGGGCGUAAAGCGUGCGCAGGCGGCGCGUUAAGACAGGUGUGAAAGCCCCGAGCUUAACUUGGGAAUUGCGCUUGUGACUGGCGUGCUGGAGUGUGGCAGAGGGAGGUGGAAUUCCACGUGUAGCAGUGAAAUGCGUAGAGAUGUGGAGGAACACCGAUGGCGAAGGCAGCCUCCUGGGCCAGCACUGACGCUCAUGCACGAAAGCGUGGGAGCAACAGG